rnacentral:lncRNA from 1 species
UUGAGGGGCCGUUUGAUUCGACGUAGUUAUAAAUACAGUAUAUUUAAAAAUAUAUGUAGUUGGAAAUAUCGUAAUUAUAAUUAUAUGUAUUUUGUUUGGUUGGAUGUAGCAGAAAGUGCUACAGUUAUAAAUAUUUAUGUUGAAAAUUUUAUCAUUUUAUGUGUAGGAUGAUAAGAUUGGCUCUUAUGUAGGAAAACAACUUUUUUUCUAAAAAAAAGGUUAUUAGAAAAAUAAAUUUAUUUUGGUUUAAAAUUACUCUCUUCAAAUAUUGUGCGCGGCAGCGGCACAGUAUCAACUGUUGCAGCA